UUCUUAGCCAAAUGCCUACUUUCAAGGCCAUGGCCUCGCUGUCUUCAUCUGCUAACUCCUUUUAUGGUGUCUCUUGGCGUACAUUUAGACACCUUAACCCAACUUUCGGUUCAUCCCGCAUCGCCAGUUCUGCUUACCAAAAACGGCCCACUUGAAACCCUCGCAUUCUCUUGUAAAUCUUGUUCAAUCAAGAAACAAAUUUACCUGCUCACCAGUUCGCAGUUUGAGAAUAGGUCGAGGCCAAAAAUAACCCCAAUACCUCUAAUCAUUAGCUCUACCAGAUGAAACUGCUUCGGGUUUCAGCGAUCCUGAGGGAUAUUUCGGAGGGAACCAGCUACUAGAUGGUUCGAUUAGUCUUUCGCCCCUAUACCCACCUUUGACGAUCGAUUUGCACGUCAGAAUCGUUUCUAGCUUCCACCUAUCUUUCAAUAGGCUUCACCAUAAGCAGGCAUAGUUCACCAUCUUUCGGGUACUAUCCUGCACGCUCCAGCUCAAUCCUAGUCAAAUUUCGAACUGGCCUGUGAUGCAAAACCAACUCAAAAAACUGGAAUUUCUCACAUUUUACUUUCGUUGUGCCUCAGAGUUUUUCCACUCCUCGACUCGCGUGCAAGUUAGCCUCCUUGGUCCGUGUUCGAAAUUUGACUAGGAUUGAGCUGGAGCGUGCAGGAUAGUACCCGAAAGAUGGUGAACUAUGCCUGCUUAUGGUGAAGCCUAUUGAAAGAUAGGUGGAAGCUAGAAACGAUUCUGACGUGCAAAUCGAUCGUCAAAGGUGGGUAUAGGGGCGAAAGACUAAUCGAACCAUCUAGUAGCUGGUUCCCUCCGAAAUAUCCCUCAGGAUCGCUGAAACCCGAAGCAGUUUCAUCUGGUAGAGCUAAUGAUUAGAGGUAUUGGGGUUAUUUUUGGCCUCGACCUAUUCUCAAACUGCGAACUGGUGAGCAGGUAAAUUUGUUUCUUGAUUGAACAAGAUUUACAAGAGAAUGCGAGGGUUUCAAGUGGGCCGUUUUUGGUAAGCAGAACUGGCGAUGCGGGAUGAACCGAAAGUUGGGUUAAGGUGUCUAAAUGUACGCCAAGAGACACCAUAAAAGGAGUUAGCAGAUGAAGACAGCGAGGCCAUGGCCUUGAAAGUAGGCAUUUGGCUAAGAAGUGUCUAACAACUUACUCGCCGAAUCUGUCAGCCCUGAAAAUGGAUGACGCUGAAGCGUACUACCGAAACCCAACGGUAUUUGCGAUAGAAAGUACCGGUAGGAGGGUGUAGUGAUUGCUAAGAAGGACACAGGUAACUGUGUGUGGAGCAGUCACUAGUACAGAUCUUGGUUUUAGUAGCAGCGUAUAGAAGUGAGAACCUUCUAGGCCGAAGUGGAGAAAGGUUCCGCGUGAACAGCAAUUGAACGCGGGUUAGUCGGUCCUAAGCAGAAGCGUACAAGCUUAGCAACAGAGAACGUUUGCAGUUAGUCGAAGUAUUGGCCACUGUGGCGUUCUAGUCUGCAAAAGGGAAUCAGGUUAAUAUUCCUGAACCAGGUAUCGGAUAUCUGUCGAAAAAUGAAAGUUUUUUGAUAGAAAAGUGGUAACGCAAACGAACUUGGAGACGUUGUCAGCAGCUCUGGGAAGAGUUAUCUUUUCUGUUUAACCGUACGAGGACCCUGGAGUAGAGUCAUUCGGAGAUAGGGUUAGAGUUGGGGAAGAGCGUUGCAAACUAGUGGCGUCCGGAAUGCUGCUGAUGAUCCGUGAAAAUCCAAGGGAGUGUAAUUUUGGUGCCUGGCCGUACUGAGAUCCGCAUCAGGUCUCCAAGGUGAAAAGCCUCUGGCUCUAGAACAAUGUGGGUAAGGGAAGUCGGCAAAAUAGAUUCGUAACUUUGGGAAAAGGAUUGGCUCUAAGGAUUGGACAGAUUGGACUGUUUUUGUAGCAGAUGGUGCGUUGGUUUUCGAGCUUUCUUGUAGCGUUUAGUUUUCGGAUUAUAUGCACAGAUUGUUUGAAAAAUGACGUAUAAUUUGUUGUGAAUCAGUUUGUAUUUGUGGACGAAUCUGCUCUAGUGGAGUCGUUAAUAAAUGCCAAGCAAUUUGUUAAGAUCAAUCAACUUAGAACUGUUACUGACUUGGGGAAUCCGACUGUUUAAUUAAAACACAGCAUUGCGAUGGCUAGAAAUGGUGUUGACGCAAUGUGAAUUCUGCCCAGUGCUCUGAAUGUGAAAGUGCGGAAACGCAAGCAAGCGCGGGUAAACGGCGGGUGUAACUAUGACUCUCUUAAGAUAGCCAAAUGCCUCGUCAUCUAAUUAGUGACGCGCAUGAAUGGAUCAACGAGAUUCCC
rnacentral:rRNA from 1 species